rnacentral:rRNA from 1 species
AGGGAAUUUUCGGCAAUGGGGGGAAACCCUGACCGAGCAACGCCGCGUGAAGGAAGAAGUAAUUCGUUAUGUAAACUUCUGUCAUAGAGGAAGAACGGUGGAUAUAGGGAAUGAUAUCCAAGUGACGGUACUCUAUAAGAAAGCCACGGCUAACUACGUGCCAGCAGCCGCGGUAAUACGUAGGUGGCGAGCGUUAUCCGGAAUUAUUGGGCGUAAAGAGGGAGCAGGCGGCACUAAGGGUCUGUGGUGAAAGAUCGAAGCUUAACUUCGGUAAGCCAUGGAAACCGUAGAGCUAGAGUGUGUGAGAGGAUCGUGGAAUUCCAUGUGUAGCGGUGAAAUGCGUAGAUAUAUGGAGGAACACCAGUGGCGAAGGCGACGAUCUGGCGCAUAACUGACGCUCAGUCCCGAAAGCGUGGGGAGCAAAUAGGAUUAGAUACCCUAGUAGUCCACGCCGUAAACGAUGAGUACUAAGUGUUGGGUGUCAAAGCUCAGUGCUGCAGUUAGCGCAAUAAGUACUCCGCCUGAGUAGUACGUUCGCAAGAAUGAAACUCAAAGGAAUUGACGGGGGCCCGCACAAGCGGUGGAGCAUGUGGUUUAAUUCGAAGCAACGCGAAGAACCUUACCAGGUCUUGACAUCGAUCUAAAGGCUCCAGAGAUGGAGAGAUAGCUAUAGAGAAGACAGGUGGUGCAUGGUUGUCGUCAGCUCGUGUCGUGAGAUGUUGGGUUAAGUCCCGCAACGAGCGCAACCCCUGUUGCCAGUUGCCAGCAUUAAGUUGGGGACUCUGGCGAGACUGCCGGUGACAAGCCGGAGGAAGGCGGGGAUGACGUCAAAUCAUCAUGCCCCUUAUGACCUGGGCUACACACGUGCUACAAUGGACAGAGCAGAGGGAAGCGAAGCCGCGAGGUGGAGCGAAACCCAUAAAACUGUUCUCAGUUCGGACUGCAGUCUGCAACUCGACUGCACGAAGAUGGAAUCGCUAGUAAUCGCGAAUCAGCAUGUCGCGGUGAAUACGUUCUCG